AAUGCUCCAUCUGCUGGAGGAAUUAAAAGGCAGGGAAUUAGCUCAUUUGGGUGGCAGGGCUGGAGGUGAGCAGACCUGCAGCCUACAGCUCCAACAGAGCAGAGGGAAGCCUAAGACUCUGACACAGCUGCCCCAAGGGGCUCUCCCUGUGGGAAAGGAGGACCCACCCCAGAGAUAACCAGAGAGGAAGUAUCCUGUGGACCUUGCACAUUGGGUUUGCCUCUGAGAAGACUUGAUCAAACUGGUCUGAACUAGAACUUUCGUGACACAGAAGGCAUAAAAAGGCUGCACACCCUGUCAGCGGGGCUGUCCAUCUGAGAGGCAGUCAGCGACUAUCACGUUUGCGUGGGCAUCGAGGACUUCCUUCACCAUCUUACGUGAUCUAUCCCACUGAUGGAAGAUCCUGAGCUCUUCCUGUCCCUGGUAACCACUGGGUGCAUAGUUGCAGGUCCAGGUCCCUAUGAACCCAAGCAAUGGAGAGACUGUCACUUAAUACCCGCAGCUGAUCCCACUCGAGAUCCAUCCUUCAAGAUACAGUACAGUUCUGGGGUACCUUGGUUUAGUUUGUUUUGUUAGAAGUGUAAACUGCCAAGAGCUGUAUUGGGGACCGGGCUUCAGGCCGAUUUUGGGCAACAACAUUGCUCUUUUAUGGUUUUAAUCUUUUAUUCUCCCCCCCGCACCCCUUCUCCCUGACAUUGAUAGUAACCCUUUUAAUACAUUUCCUGUUUAUUUUC